GGCAGUGUGGCAUAGCAGUUUGAAUGUUAGAGUACAACUUGAGACCAGGGUUCGAUUCACUGCUCAGCCA